GUGCUCACUUCAGCAGCACAUACACUAAAAUUAGAAUGAUACAGAGAAGAUUAGCAUGGCACCUGCGCAAGGAUGACCCUCAAAUUCGUGAAGUGUUUUAUAUUUUU